UGCAGUCGAACGAGUUCUGAUUAUUGAAAGGUGCUUGCAUCUUGAUUUAAUUUUGAACGAGUGGCGGACGGGUGAGUAACACGUGGGUAACCUGCCCUUAAGUGGGGGAUAACAUUUGGAAACAGAUGCUAAUACCGCAUAAAUCCAAGAACCGCAUGGUUCUUGGCUGAAAGAUGGCGUAAGCUAUCGCUUUUGGAUGGACCCGCGGCGUAUUAGCUAGUUGGUGAGGUAACGGCUCACCAAGGCAAUGAUACGUAGCCGAACUGAGAGGUUGAUCGGCCACAUUGGGACUGAGACACGGCCCAAACUCCUACGGGAGGCAGCAGUAGGGAAUCUUCCACAAUGGACGCAAGUCUGAUGGAGCAACGCCGCGUGAGUGAAGAAGGCUUUCGGGUCGUAAAACUCUGUUGUUGGAGAAGAAUGGUCGGCAGAGUAACUGUUGUCGGCGUGACGGUAUCCAACCAGAAAGCCACGGCUAACUACGUGCCAGCAC
rnacentral:rRNA from 2 species